rnacentral:rRNA from 1 species
UACGGAGGGGGCUAGCGUUGUUCGGAAUCAUUGGGCGUAAAGGGCGCGUAGGCGGCCGAUCAAGUCGGAGGUGAAAUCCCUCGGCUCAACUGAGGAAUUGCCUUCGAUACUGUUCGGCUUGGUCUCGGAGAGGGUAGCGGAAUUCCCGGUGUAGCGGUGAAAUGCGUAGAGACCGGGAAGAACACCAGUGGCGAAGGCGGCUACCUGGACAGGUACUGACGCUGAAGCGCGAAAGCUAGGGGAGCAAACAGG